AAACAGCUGCUGGCGGCUGAUCACGCCGUGUCCAGGCGCUGGCCCAGGGUGCAGGCACCCCUGGCCUAGAAUUGCUCCCAGUGGGCACCAAACAACCCUGUUUUCUUGUUCUGGUGUGAGUGCUGGGCAGAGUUCAUCAGCCCUUCCUCCCUGUAAUUCUCUGUGUGUUGGGUGAUGAGAGAGACUGGAACUCUGCUCAGGCCACUGUCUCAUGUCACGGCAGAGGCAAGUGGGUGCGUGCAGUAUCCAGAGACAGCCUGAGUGAGUUGUCUGGUGGCUGAGAAGAGGGAGAGGCCAUGUCUGAUGCAGCGAGCAGGAAGCCUUCCUGGAGCAGGUGCCAUUGGGAUGGCCGUCAAGGAAGGAGACAGAGAAGAAGGACCUGAAUCCACAAAGGCCUAGAUAUGGAGAGAGCAAAUACAGUGUGAACAGGCUCAAGAGGAAAUGGAGUUCCCCAAGAUGUGUAGCUGGUGUGAGCAGAGCAAGAACAGGAGUUCUGUCUGUCUGCCCCGCUGCUCUGCCUCAGGGCCUUCCUUCCCGCACACCUGCCCCUUAAUCCAGCCUUGAGCUCUUCUGGGGUGUUGUGCUCACCAUGGGGUCUCAGGGGACCAGCGGCAGCACACACUGGGUGCCCAGGAAAUGUCUGUUCAUGGACUGGAUGGAUGGCCUGGGGAGGACAUGCAGGCUGGGCCAGUGCCCCCAUCCUCAGCCUCAUGGGCCAUGUGUGCUUGUUGCAGGCCAAGUUCCUUCCCAGACCGACCCUUUCACUUCGCCCUCAUACCACCUGGUAUUUUCUGGAGCCUGGCAGCAGCACAAGCUGCUUGGUGCUUGUGGUAACUGCCAUCUUCCCCACCUGCCCCUCAGGUCCCCAGCCAUUCCCCUACCAUUCCCUGCCUCCUUUCUGCCAGGCUUCUUUCCUGCCCACCUGCACUGGGUCCCCUCUUACUGCUGCAGCCUCUCUGAGCCCCAAAGCAACCAGGGCUCUCCCAAGAAAUCAUAACAACGCCAGUAACGUCCUCAGUACAUUUUACUGUGCGCUAGCUAAGUACUCCCUGAGUACUCUAAGACCUGUGCUAAAUCCUCUGCAUCCACCAUUCCUCUCUCAGCUCACAAUAGGCCUGGGAAGCAGUUGGUUCCUCAGCCUCCUGACACGAGGCACAUGGCUCAGUGGGAGGACUUAAUUCCGUGGGUGUCAGGCUUGUAUGCACAUUGGAAUCACCUGAAGGGAGUCAAAAACUCCCUGUGCCUGUGUCCUGCUACACGGGCUUGUGGUUUAGCUGCUCUGGGUGUGGCUUGGGCUUGGGAAUUUUUAAAAGAUUCCCAGAAAAUUCUACCAUGUGCAUGUGUUUGGGAACCACCAGUUUUCUAGAGAAAUUUUAAUUUAGGACCUGAAAAACAACCUCAACCAAACAUCUUUAUUGAGAUUUAAUUGACAGACAGGAAAUUGCACAUACUCAAAAUAUAUAAUUUGAAAAGUUUUUAAAAACCAUCUGAGCCAUUUUAAGUAUACAGUUCCAUAGAGUUACACUGUUAUGCAACCAGUCUCCAGAGCGUUCUCAUCUUGCAAAACAGAGACUAAAUCCAUUAACAGCUCCCAUCCCUUCUCCUCUCAGCCCGACACUCACCAUCCUACUUCCUGUCUUUGACUUUGGUCAUUCUGGGUACUUCAUGUAAGUGAAGUAAGCACCGUAUAUGUCUUUGUGCCGCUUAGCCUGAUGCCCUCGAUCUUCAUCCUUGUAGCAUUCGACAUGAUUAUCUUCCCUUUUAAGGAUGAAUAAUAAAUUAUCCAUUCAUUUGUCCAUGAGCAUCUAAAACAAGGCCUCUAUGGGUAUAGGGGUGUUUGUACCACUUCCAGGCUUUGCUUUCCAUUCUUUUGGGGAUACACUCAGAAGUGGGACUGGUGGAUCACACGGUGGUUCUAUUUUUGAUUUUUUUUUGAGGAACAACUGCACUGUUUUUCUACAGUAGCUGCACCUUGUGCAGUCCCACUCUGGCACUCAGGGUUCCAGAUUCUUCACAUCCUCCCCAGUACUUGUUCUUUUUUGGGUUUUGGUAGCCAUGCUGAUGGACACGGAGAGCCACCUCAUUAUGGCUUUGACUUGCACUUCUCUAAUGAUUAGUGAUGUUCAGCAUCUUUUUGUAUACUUGCUGGCCUGUAAAUCAACUCUGGAGAUGAAUUCUCUACCUACCUUCCCAGAGAAGCCAGGGCCUCCCCUCUGCAUCCUCCCCUGAAACCCAGCAUGCCCCAGAGGGAGCACUGAAGCACCCCCUACCCCAGCCCCUAGGAGGCAGCAGCCUUUCACCCCUUGGGGGUCUUUUCUUCAAAUUAAGCCCAUUGUAUCCAAGGACAGACAUUAUUUUGCCACAAAGCUCCCCACUCCAGCUAAAGUGAGGCUGGAGCACUGUCCCCAUUCCUACUCCAGACAGCUAGAAAGGAUCACACACAGGUCCUCAUUAGCAAAGCACUUGGCUUUGUUCCUGCCCCAAGUGUGUACAGACUGAGUGCUUCCCUGUAGCUUCAGCAGACCCCUCUUCUUUGCAAUUAAUCUGAACAGACUAAACCCCUCCUGGGCAGAGGUGGGUGAUACACUGCCCACCGACACACAGAGCAGCCUGUUUGAGCUGAAUCUCCAGGGCUGCCAUCUCCCCACGGGUGCAGCUGCUGUCCCCAUCCUGUCCUUGGCACAGUCUGCUGUGUCUGAGCCCCAGUGCCUUUACUCUUGGCCCUCCUUUGGUGGAAAGGCUGAGCCCUGCCCUUGGAGGCUCUGUCUUUGACUCUGCUGCUGUCCUCUGUGUGGAGCUACCCAAAGUAUUUCAAGAGCUCAGUGCUUAUGGCUGCUCCUCAAGGGAUGGGGUGAGUCCUUGAGGUGAGUGUCCUUACACUCUGGGCAGGAAUCUGCCUUUUUCUCCCAGCUGUGGCCCCUCUAACCUUCUUAGUUCUUUGUAAUAUGUUCAUUUGAAGAGACUAAUUUUGUUGAACUGUGUAUUUAAAUUAUUGCAUUAAAGUUUCUUUUACCCACA